AACCAAACACCCGAUUAUUAUUUUUUGGGAAAACUUUAAAAACCCUUCCUGUGGUUUCUAACUUUCUCACUUUAGUACCCUGUGGUUUAAAGUGUAUCAAUUUGCCCCCUUGUGGUUUUAUUUUUAUUUUUUCUAUAGUUUUUUUCUUAAUAUUUCGUUAAAUUAUAUGCAAAAAAAAUUUCAGAUAUCCAUCUAGAUUUACCGAAUAUUUACUUUAGUACCCUUUAAUUUUAAUUUUGUUACUAAUUUGAGAAAAAAAAUAAUAAAAUUAAUAAAAAAAGAGAAAAACGAAACCACAGGAUGGCAAAUUGAUACAAUUUAAACCACAUGGUACUAAAGUGAGAAAGGUGGAAAUCAUAGGGGGUGUUUUUGAAGUUAUCCUUUAUUUUUUUUAUUCGCUUCCGCUUUAUUUAUUUUUUUUAAAAAAAUAUAAUUAUUAAAUUUUUUGCCGUUUGCGUUGGGGACUGCGGGCACUGCGUGAUG
rnacentral:lncRNA from 1 species